UACAGAGGGUGCGAGCGUUAAUCGGAAUUACUGGGCGUAAAGCGCACGUAGUCGGCUUUGCAAGCCGGUUGUGAAAUCCCCGGGCUUAACCUGGGAACUGCAUUGGUGACUGCAAGGCUUGAGUGUGUCAGAGGGAGGUGGAAUUCCGCGUGUAGCAGUGAAAUGCGUAGAUAUGCGGAGGAACACCGAUGGCGAAGGCAGCCUCCUGGGAUAACACUGACGCUCAUGCACGAAGGCCAGGGGAGCAAACGGG
rnacentral:rRNA from 1 species